GGCUCGAAACAGAAGACGAGAAAAAACAUAGUUCCAAGAAGCUCAAAUAAAGCAGCUUGUAGAGUUUCUCGUCAAGGGAGUGAGAAUACGGUUCUACAGGUUCUACAGUUUUACCAUCACAAGAGUUCAUCACCAUGUCUCCAAGGUGGCAGUCCACGGAUGAAGAAUUGAGUUGCACAAACCAACAGAAAGCUAUACAAAAUUACGGCACCACUGUCACACUUUAUUCGACUUUUUACUGUCAAAGUUGCAUCAGGGGCAAGGCCAUCACCGCGCCAAAAACAGAGACGAUAACCACCGUCAGCCAAAAGGGCACUCGCUUCUUCAGCUUCUUUUCGCUGCGAAUCCGGCAAAUUUUAACAUGGUCUUUCUUACCUCCCUUUUUCACACGAGAGAUAAAAGUACAUAAUAGAUCUGAGAGACCGGGACGUUAAUUUUAUUAAGUAGUGGGUCUGAGUAAAUUUUAUUGAGAGUGGCGUUUUGGCACAUGAGAGCUCACGCUCCUGGUUUUUAAAAUGCAUUUUAAACAUAUUUUAGAAAUGACAAAAAAUUCCAAACAAAAACUUAACGCAUACAUCUCGAUAUUAUACAUGCUCACAAAGUCAUUUCGUAAAAAACCGACAACUUAUAUGUCGCGUGUGAAAAUAACAAAAUCUGGUGUUAAAAAUUUCUUUUCACAAGACAUUCUUUUGUCUUUUUACACAAGCCAUAAAAAAUGUCGGUUUUCUUCAAAACUUGACGUGCACACAUAUAAUGUCGAGAUGUAUAUGCCAAAUUUUUGUUUGGAAUAGUUUCACACAUUAAAAUAUAUUUUUCGAGUGCAGGAGCACAAACGGAUUUCCAAAUUUUAUCUUCUUACUUCGCAUGCAGAGAGAGAAGGCAAGAGCGACCAUAUUAAAAUUGCUCUCACCGUAGCUGCCGCUUCCUGGACAGUGUCAGGUGAAGGAGCUGGGGCUCUGGUUCCGUGCUCCUUUUCUUGUUGUUGGUUGUACUUCUCCACAUAUUCAGGAAAUAAUUUCCUGAAGUGCGGGCAAUUUUUGCCGUGGAACAAGAGCAGUGUCGAUUUAUACCUCAUGGUUUGGAACAGGGAAUCUCUCUCUCUCAUGUCAGAAGGCGUAGUCAAGAGAUGACGCAAGAAUAAUGACCACGUCGUCUCCGUCGCUACCGAACGCCUCUGCCAUGGCGCCCUCCUCCAGGCCCAGCCCAGCUGAGGCGAACUUUACGGCGCGACCCCAUCCUGUCCGCUCCUGUCCGUUUGGGGUAAAACGGAUAAACAAGGCGGCCCAGUGCGCGGGCGCAAACGGACUUUUGUCCGUUUUCUGUCCGCUUUCGACCCAUCCCCGGCCUAAAUUUGCGCCGAUUUUAGGGUGAAACGGACGGACAGGCGGGACGCGCGCGCUUGUCCUCCCCUGGCCCGCCUGUCGGUGGCACAAAGCAACCACCCCACCCACCCCACGCCCCAUUUGGCACCAUUUCCCCCAAACCCUCCCACGUCCCUCCCGCCGCCCCCUCCCUCCCCGUCCAUGGCCGACGCCCAGCUGAAUUCCGGCGGCCUGGCCGUCGACCCGCCCCCAAAGGUGAAGAAGAAGGCGGCCAAGGCGCCAAGGAAGCCGCGGUCGGAGUGCACGCCGGAGGAGAUCGCCAAGUUGGACGUGGGAUCGGCGAAGAGAAGGAGCCGGAGGGCGGUCGUCAAGGUCAAUGCCGCCGCGGCCAAGUUCGCCGCCGAGCGCGAUGGGAUGGAGGCCGCGCGGCGCAAGGCCGCGGUCGACGAGAAAGAGGACAUCGUCAACAAAGAGCACGCCCUCCUCAUGCUUGGCAUGUGCCGUCCGGCCGGUUUCCCUGCAGCGGCCGUUGGCCCGGCGAGCACACGCUCGUCGGUCGCCCGGCCUCCGCUGCACUGCCAGUCGCCGACGUCGCGGACCACGCCCAUGUCGCCCGGCUUUCCCCCGCCAAGGCACGACGCCCAGACCCGUUUCUCGGGGUCGCCGGACGUUGGUGUGAUCGCGUCGUCCACCCCGCGCCCCUCGGCCGUCAUCGACCUCAACGUCACGCCUGGGUCCAGCAGCGGCGGCCGGCCGCCGUCCGUGGAGAUGCAAAGAAAGCAUGCACGGCCACCGUUUACGGGCACCAUGUCGUCCCCUCGCGUCUUGUUCGACGGAAUGCCAACACCAACGCCACCGAUCGACGACCCCUUCUACAACCAGUUCAUGGAGGAUGUGAUCUACGAGUGUAGGCAGGGCCGUGCCUACGACCCCGACGAGACCCAAAGUCAGGAUGGCCGCGCCAUGUUCGUUGCCGAUGAAGAGGCUGUCGACCGUGCUGACUACGACCACGGUGACUCGUGGCAUGAAGACGAUGACAUCUAUUGCGAAGGUGAUGGUGAGGAAGAAGAAAGCAAUGGCAUUGAUAUUGGUGGCGAGCCAUUGUUCAUCGACGAGCUUACCCAAAGAGCGGAAGCACAAAAGAGGAGGAAGAGCAUUCGCACAGGUUCAUAUACCCAAGAUGAGGACAAGUUGAUUUGCCAAUGUUGGAUGGAGAUUAGCCAUGAUCCGAGGACCGGCGCGCAACAAAAGGGCCUUGUUUUUGGACGAGAGUCUAUAAAACAUUCCAUGAAAGGAAGAUGUUUGAGCCCUGCCAAAUUACAAGCAACUGUGGCAUCACCUCGAUUCAAAAGAGGUGGUUGUUCAUCCAACAAGAGUGCAACAAGUAUUGCACCGCAUUUGAGAGCGUUGAAGCACGGCCCGUGAGUGGUCUUGGCGUUGGGGACAUGGUAUGCUCUCCUCAUCCUAGUCCUUUCCUUACUACGGCCAUGAGACUUCGGCCUUGUAUAUGUUUCCAUGUUCAAUUGUUGUUGAUCAUGUGGUGUAGGCAUUUCAAUCUUUGAAAGCAUUCAAGGUCCGGCACAAUGACAAGUCGUUCACUCUUACGCAUUGUUGGGCGAUCAUCAACAAUUGCUCCAAGUUCAGGAUCAAUACCGUGAACUUCAAAGAAAGAGAGGCAAGAAGACGGCCAAGUUCACUGGAGGUGGAGAUGGCGAGGCGUUGAAGAGGCCGAGGGGCAAGACCAACUCCAAGGUGGACGACAUACGUGAUGCCUCAUCCAUGGCCUUGCAUCACACUUUGCAUGGCAUGAUGUCUCAAAAGGACUUGAGGGACGAGAAGAAGCAGCAAAGCAAGGACGAGCAAAUGAAGCAAUACCUAGAGCUUCAAAGGAAGAAGCUUGAGAUGGAGGAGGCGGCCAAGAGAAGGAAGAUCGACAUGGAGGAGGCGUCCCGGCAAAGGCAGCUCGACAUCGAGGCCGCCAAUGUCUGGCUCUGUUGCCGGUGGCGUGAACUAGGCCGCUGGCCUGAACUAGGGCCGUUGGUACUUGAAACGUUGUUCUUUUUUUUUAAUAUGGACGCGGACAAGAUGGGGCAAACGGAUGCGGCCGCGCGCUGGGCGUACAGCCACCGCAUCCCAGGACAGACGCGGACACGACCCCAUCGCCCUAUCCAAAGAGACAAAAUCCGGGCAGACCAGACGUCCGUUUAAGGUCGCGCGGUGGAGUUGGCCUAGUUCACGUAUGGCCGCAGCAUGUGGCCGCAGCACGCCUCGUUGGCCUCCCUGUACCCCGUGGGGUUCGCCAGCCAGUCGCCGUGGUUCACGAGCUAUGCCACACGCUUAUUCGAGGAAAACAUCUUGGUGCGUACCGAUGACAUGGAUAUCUCAUAGUACAUCUGUAUUUUUAGCUGGGAAUUGUCGCCUUUAUUUAAGUCUCAGACAUCUCUGAGCAGUAUAGAGCUGAUGCAAUCCGGUGGCACUCUAAGCCACGUCCUACACAGCUUAUUCGCGCGCCCUUCCCUAGUGAGACAAUCGGCAACGUUAUUUGCCGAGCAUUGCGUCCAGGUUACCCUGAAUUUUGUUGGAGGCGCUGCAGGAUUUGAGAGGUGCGUGUUUGUAGCGCCCAGCUCCCAUACGAAUUAGCUUUAUCGCUCGCCAGUCUCGCCCAGGGGCACCCUACAAAUUUUUAUUUUUUUUUGGCACUGGCAUAACCUUAGUCCUAGGAUCAAAUACCACCCAGACAAAUCGAUUGGGAUUUUGAUCCCGGUAAUCAUUAGCGGUCAUAUGGGUGGUUACAUUACUGUGCUCAAAGUAUUCUUGAUGCACCUCAUUCCUAGCUAUAAUUAAAUGUGUGGGAUCGAUCGAACAACACAAGAUACUUCGAGUGUCUCAUUCCUAACUCGAUGUCUUGUUGUGUAAGAGGAAGGUCGUUUUGUCACAAUAUAUAGCGUAGAGUCGAAAGUGGUAGGUGAGAUGUGAUAUGGAAUCUAGCUUACAAAUAAAAGCUAUACAUGCAUGAGAUUCAAGAUUAUUCUUGAGUUACUAGUACCAUUUUGCUCACAUGCAUGAAGAAUAGAGGCACUGAUUAAUUGUUUUACUGGUCUUCGAAAACACACAAUAAAAUAUGUAAUCAGCUUUUAAAUGUAAAAUUCUAACUACAGUGAUAACAAUUCAGUAUAAAUUUGGAAACCAAUAUUACAAGCAACAUAAGGCUUAUAUCUCACCAAUUUAUGAGCACAAUGAUUGUAAAUUUUGCCCAACAUAAAUAGAAAUGUCCAUAUAUACUAUGGAUUAUGUUUGAUAUCAUAUUUGGGUUUUCCAGAGUACUUUGCCUGUUAAUAAAAAAAUCAUGCAUACAAACAUAACAAGUAAAUACCCGCGGGGAGGGGGGGGUAUUGAAUUGGAUCUAAAUUUAGAAAUCAACAUGGCAAGAAACAUAAUCAGAACAAACGUAAAACAAUUAUAUUACCACUCCCAUCAAAUACAUGACUUACAAGAAAGGACGCAGUCACACUUUUUUUUUAGAGCAAAGGCAUACGCCCGACUUUAUAAAUAAAGCCAUAAGGCAGGUAGCAACAGCAUCACAGAAAAGUAUCAAACACACCCAAGCCCCAACGCUGGGCAAGACGACGAAGGAUAAAGUCAGGUACAUGGCUCCCACGCCAGUACACGGCACGCAGGCCGGAAGAGAAAGAACCGACUAAAGCUAAAGCAUCUGGCCCAAAAGAAGCAAUCAAGCAUCCUGCUCUUGUCUGCAUAACUAAGACGCCGUCAUCCGGAUUUUGUAGAUCAGCAUAGAGAGCGUCUUUUGGUCGUCGACCUUAGUCAAUGAUUUCCACUGCUGCAGGAGAGCACACGAUUUAAAUAAGCAGUCAGCCGGUUUAGCCGGAAACACGUGCUCGAUAGUAAAUUUGUUCCUAGUAGUCCACAGAGACCAGCAUAAAGCCCCCAAGCCCACCCAAAAGAUGCGCCUAGAUACACCGGAGAGGUUGGAAGCCAAGCUGCGCAACUCGGCAAAGGAGGCAGGGGCCCAAGAAACAUGAAGCCAUUCCCGCACGCAACUCCAAAUGAGCUUAGCCAGGUGACAGUGAAAAAAGAUAUGAUACGAGUCUUCCACAUCACCGCAAAGAGCACCGAACUGGGAGCCCGGCCCAUUUCUCUUACGAAUCUGAUCAGCCGAGGGCAACCGGCCUCGAAAGGCUUGCCACAAGAAGAUUUUAAUCUUAGGGGGAAUACGGGCCUUCCAAAUUUGGGAAAAAUGAUUGGUAGGCGAGCCACCAACGAGCUUAGAAUAAAGAGACUUAACAGAAAAACGCCCAGAGGCAGAAAGCGGCCAAAGCACCGAAUCCCUGACCGUCAAGAGCGUAGGGAAGAGGGCAGUAAGACGUUGCCAAUCUUCAAACUCUACAGGCGACAGAGAACGGCGAAAGGCCAGGUUCCACCCCUGGGAUGCAAGCUUCGCAAUAGAAAUAUUAGGGUCAGAGCAGUAAGAAAAAAGGGUAGGGAAGGUCACCGAGAGAGGUGAAUCUCCACACCACCAAUCAAGCCAAAACCGAAUCGAGGACCUGUCCCCAACAACAAACUUAACGAAAGAUUGAAAAACAGGUCUAACUUUGACCAGAGACUUCCAAAACUGAGAGCCACCACGCGGCAGAGCAAACAUCGGGCUCGAGGACGGGAAAUAUUUAGCCUUAAGGGUCGACAGCCAAAGGGGUUGAUCCUCAGCGCUCAUAAUCUUCCACCACCAUUUAAUCAUCAAGCAUUGAUUCAUGAUGGAAGUAUUAAGAAUUCCUAACCCCCCAAGGUUUUUGGGCUUGCACAUCAAUUUCCAUUUGACGAAGCGAUAUUUGCGACGAUUGUCCGCAUCAUUCCAGUAAAAUGCCCCAUGGUGUUUGUCAAAACCAGCAUGAAUCCCAGCCGACAAGAGAAAGAAGCCCAUAAGGAACAUGGGGAGGGAGGAGAGGCAAGCAUUAAUUAGAGCCACUUUACCAGCAUUCGUAUUAUAUCUACCCCGCCAGGGAAGGACCCUGUUUCCCACCUUUGUGACUACCGGGGCAAAAUCUUUGGCAUGAAGCACAUCCGGGGAAAUAGGCAAACCCAAGUACUUGAACGGAUAGGAGCCUAGCUUACAGUUAAGAAGGUGGGCCACUCGCGCGGCUUCCGAUUCGUCCACACCAGUCACAACUACUUCGCUCUUGGCGAAGUUAAUCUUAAGCCCCGACAUAGCCUCGAAGCAUAGUAGAAUAAAUUUGAGGUGGGCAAGGCAGGCCUCAUUCAACUCGACCAGAAUAAUAGUGUCGUCCGCAUAUUGGAGAUGGGUGAGACCAUGGGGAAUGAGAUUAGAACAAACCGGAGUAAUGUGCCCACUAGUGACUGCCCUAGUGGCAGUCACACUUUUUAAACUUUCAAUAUUAAUGUACAAUAAAAUAAAUAAAAAGGUUGUGUGGAAAUGAUAUUGUUAGAUUUCUAAAAAAACAUAUUAUAAAUCGCGCAUUUUUUUCACUAUCAUAUUCGAACAAACAUAAUGCUCAAUGGUAGAUACCGGACACUGUAUCGGCUUGAUGCUACAUUUCGAGAUAAUAAAAAAGCCCUUUAUCAAAAAAGAUACCGGUCACUGUAUACUAAAACCAUCUAUUUGCAAAUGGAUCGGUUGUUUCAUGCAUACAUCCCACGAUUUGUACAAUAUAAAUAAGAAAUGAAAUAUGCAGUACCAUGUUUGAGAUUAUAUCUUGGUUUUGCAUAGUACUUAGCUACAUACAAUGUAUUUUAUUAUUUGAUGCAAAUAUGUUGGUGAUGCAGCAUAAGGAGUAAAUGCAAGUCUGAGAGGUAAUUGAAAUGAUUUUUUUUAUUGUGGAUUAGAUAUUAUUAAAUUAAAUUACUUACCCCAUAAGAAAAAAUAUCUAGGAUGUUUUGGUGAUAACUGUUCAUUAGAUUUCUGGCUAAAAAUAUUUCCAGUUACAUAAAGUUUGCUAAUGCGUAAAAAUGGUCAAAAUGCAUAUUAGAGAUCGUUAAUACGGCUCCGCCUAGCUACAGCCGCCGCCUCCAAACAAACUAUUCUCUGCCUCCCUCCGGCGCCAGUUCCGGUCCGUCCCGUCUCCGGUGGCCUUAGGGCCAUGGAGGCGGAGUGGAUCUUGGCCCUUGCCGGUGGGAGGGCUCGGUUUUUAGAUCUGUUUUUGAGCUUUGUUAGGGUUUGUGUCCUGCUCAGGAAGGCGAGACGGCGGCGGCUCCCUGAAGAUGGAAUAAAGGUCUCCCUGCCUAGCCCCUGUUCCGGUGAUGCAUCUAGCAUCAUCGGUGGGCAUGUGGAGGUGCGUCUCCGGCGGAUCUGUCUUUGAUGGAUUUGCUCGGAUCUGUUCGUCGUUCGUCUUCGUUCGUGUGUCUUCAGGUUGGAUUCUUUUGAUCUACACUCUUCAUCUGCGGCGGUUGAUGUUCUGGUGCAUUGGUUCCAUUGGGCCUUAGCACGACGACUUCCGGACUGUCUACUACAACAACGUUUGCCCGGCUCUGGCAAGGGAGGGGCGAUGACAGCGGGGCUAUCAGCUCGCUUCAGUGCUUGUAGUCAUCGCUAGGUGGUCUACGGAUCUGGAUGUAAUUUUUAUUAUUUCUAAUGUUCAUUGUACUACCAUGAUUGAAGAUGAAUAGAUUGAAAGUUUUUCCCGCAAAAAAAAAGAGAUCGUUAAUACUGAAAUUUCAUCUGUUUCAUGCAUAUAUUAAUUAAAUAUGUUUUUACUCUGUGUUGGAGGAGAGUAAAUGUUAUUAUUUACUCGAAUGUUGUAGGAUUUACAAAGGUCCAACUUAAUUCGUAAGCAUACGUCUAUAUAUAAGUACAAGUUUUUUUUGAGAAGGAAUAAGUACAAGUUUUUAAUAAGGGAGUUUUUUAUUUACUCAAUAAAUGAUAUCAAGGCAACACAACCACCAUAGAGUUCACAAACCACCUCAUAACAAGAUGCACACACCGAUGAGUAUUACUUUUUACAAAAGUGUGAUGAAAAAUAUCAGCCUAAAAAGAAAAGAAAAAACAUAUUGUGAUGGAGGAUUGAACUGGCUACUAAACCGCCAUUCAUGGUGAAUAAACACAUCCUUGGUUUCCCCUUCCACCUAGGUCCAUGCGUCGUAAACAGCUUCAUGUGCACUUACCAAUAAAGCAAGGACCAGGUACAGAUUUAGUGUGUAAAUGGGUAUAACUUGUGGGGGAGAAGAAAUUUCAUUUCACCAAAGAUCACAUUACUUCUACAUAUCCACAUCGACAAGCUUAAUGUUGCCACCCAACUAGGAUUGGGGCUGGGUCUAUGUUUCAUAUCAAUUGCCCUGCAGCUAGUUACCAUUAUAACAGCCCAUCACUGACACAAAUUAGAAGCAACCUGGAUGGCCGAUGAUGCAAAUCGAGCAACUUACAUUCAAAUAAGAGAUGUUUGAUUGUUUCAUCUUUAAACAUAAACAACAUCAUUUACUUCCAUUAAAAUUUUGGUUAGAAAGAUUAUGUAUUGUUAGAAACCAGCAAUGAAUACCAAAGUAAACGUUUAUCUUUUAGCAGAAUCUUUAGUUUCCACGGUAUUUUAUUGUUAAUUAGUGCUAGCAAGAUACAUAGAGUUACCGGUGAUUCGGUGAAUAGCGUGUUCUGUGCAAAAUACACUGGAACUCAUUCGAACUUUGUGCCAAUGUGAGAUUGGCUAGAUGUACAAAAGGUUUUUUUUCUGAAAAGUUCUGACACUAGAUAAUCAAAAGGUAUGAAGAAACCCAAAUAAAGAAUUUUGCAGGUUUCUCGUCAGCUACACCUACACGGUAUCUCAAUUUCUCAAGUAACCCCAACUUGUGUUGUUGCACGUAUGCAAUUUCCAGGUGUGGACAAAGUCUGCUAUAUGUGCCUGUAACUGAUCAAGCAAUACAAGAGAGGCCAUGCAUUGCAUUUCUUGGUCAAUAUGUAAUUGCGUAGGAGAAAGUAUUACGACUAUAUAGCAUAGAGUCGAAUGUGGUACUCCCUCCGUCACAGUUUAGAAGGCACAGUUAAAUUUGCGUUCAUUUCCACAAUAGACAAGGUUUAGGGCGCAUUGCAUUUAUUUCUAGUAGCUACUUAGUACUCUAAUAUACUAUUUCUAUAUGCAUGCGUAGUGUGAAUGCUAUUUUUUAGCCCAUCUCACAACCAAUAGAUAACCACCUAGGUCCCAGAGAAUUUUCAAGCGCGCCUUCUAUACCGUGACGGAGGGAGUAGGUGAGAUCCAGAGUGGAAUGUAACUCACCAAUAAAGUGUAUCGGUAGGAACUACUAGUAUCGCAUGCAUGUAUGAAGAAUAAUGACGCUGACUAAUUGACCGGAUGAUUAAAAAAAUCAACAUUUGAUGCUUAAUUGGUUGGAUCUCGAAAUCUUUUUUUUUUUGCGGGAGGGUAAUAUCAUACUAAAAUAUUUAAUCACCUUUCAAAUAUUGAAAUCGUGUAGGCCUCAUUCGGUUUGGAGGAUUUUUAUAGGAAAAACAUGGGAACAAGGAUUCCAGAGGAAAAUUUCCUAUAUAUGCAUUCGGUUUGUAGGAAAUGUGUAGAGGAGUUUUGUAGGAAUACUAUUCAUUUCUUAUGCUUUUGGAGGAAACUACACAUCCACUCAAAGCUCAUUUUGCGCAUAGGAACGAGGCAAGUCAAUUCCUUAGGGUGGCAAGUGCCAUCCUACCAAAUUCCUAUACUACUCCAAAUUCCUACGUUUAGAUUUCCUUCAAACCGAAUGAGCCCGUAUACAUGUUGGCAUAUGUAAAUUUUGAAAUCAGCGUGGCACUAGCAGCUACUGCUGUCAGUGAACAAAAAACAAACGGACCAUCAAAUUAGCUAAGCCUCAACUCAUCCUCCUUCAAAAGCAAUUCAAACUAUUAAAAAAAAAACUCAUCCUCCUUGAGGUCUACCGAGUUUUCUUUCCAACCACGCUUAGUGUUUUUUUGAAACGGAGGCAAAAGAUUUGCCUCGUAUAUUAAAUAAGGAGAGAAGAGUUUGUUACAACACACACCCAGAAUACGGCAUGGCAAUUAUUCUCGCAAUAAAAAAGACCCUAACUUCUUUGCCCCGGCUUAGUGUAGAUAGAUGGAUAGAGGCGACAACAUAUUCCCAAUGUUCUCAAUAGGGAGGGCUUUGUGUCGCGAAGAGACAACCAAAUAGGAUACCAACGUUUAUCAUGAUCGAUAUCUGAGACCAAAAGCGGGAGUAAGUUUGGCUUGAUAGCACUAAGACAACAUCACCAGUAGGUGAUGUCGCAAGCACUAUUAAGCCAGAAUAGCACACCUAAAGGGCGCUGCUGGGGUACGGGGUCAACAGGGGCCUACCCGGCGUGCAAAAUAGCUCCACACGCUCAUGCAGCCAAGGCGAUCAAGCAAACAAGGAUGUGCAGGGAUAGAUUGUCAUUCAAAAUCCUAGAAUUACAGGAGUUUCGCUUGCUUGAAUCGUAUAUAUGCAAAUGUGAGAAAGCAGACCUACUUUCAGUUCAGGUCCCUCAGGUCAUCGUAAUUGAAGUGGGCAUCCCUGGGCGUGUGAUCACGUGUGCGAAUUAGACUCCAACACAGAUCGCUCUCCAGAAAAGCUGUGACAGCAGCAGCUCCUGCUAGUGCUGUAGGUGAACACAAACAACUGAACACCAAAUAAGCAGCUAGCCAAGUAAUACAAGAGGGUUUCCCAAAAAAAAGUAAUACAGAGGGCCAAAUUUGGAGAAAAUUGUGAGGCACCACUUGGAAAGGGACGGAUCACCCAGAGAUACCCCAGCAGAAAGAGCAUUGUUUAGCAGACAUGAGUCACAAUUAGCAAGCCCUUCUUAAUCUAGCAUGAAAUUAAUUGUGUUCUACUUCUGAUACAUUUCUAGACCUUGAAGAUAAACAUCAGCGAGCAAAGUAAGCAAUGUUAGGAUUUGCGCGGCUCAAAACUAAAGACAAAAAAAAGGUAAUACCGAGAAGCUCAAAUAAAGCAGCAUGUAGAGUUUCUCGUCAAGGGAGUGAGAAUACGGUUCUACAGUUUUACCAUCACAAGAGUUCAUCACCAUGUCUCCAAGGUGGUAGUCCACGGAUGAAGAAUGAGUUGCACAAACCAACAGAAAGCUAUACAAAAUUACGGCACCACUGUCACACUUUAUUCGACUUUUUACUGUCAAAGUUGCAUCAGGGGCAAGGCCAUCACCGCGCCAAAAACAGAGACGAUAACCACCAUCAGCCAAAAGGGCACUCGCUUCUUCAGCUUCUUUUCGCCGCGGACCUCGGCCACUGGUCUUCCUAUAUUGUUCACCAUUGCUGCCGCUUGCUGGACAGCGGCAGGAGAAGGAGCUGGGGCAGG
rnacentral:lncRNA from 1 species